AGUGUUAAGUAUAUUGACAUUGUUGUGAAACAGAUCUCCAGAACUUUUAUAUCUUGCAAAUCUGAAACUCUAAACCCAUUAAACAACUACUACCCAUUUCUCCCU